rnacentral:rRNA from 1 species
UAAGGAAUACUGCUCAAUGGGAGAAAUCCUGAAGCAGCAACGCCGCGUGGAGGAUGAAGGGUCUAUGACUUGUAAACUCCUGUAAAGAAGGAAAAAAUUCCCAUUAGAUGGGAGAUGAUGGUACUUCUGGAGUAAGCCCCGGCUAACUACGUGCCAGCAGCCGCGGUAAUACGUAGGGGGCAAGCGUUGUCCGGAUUUACUGGGUGUAAAGGGUGCUCAGGCGGAUUUGUAAGUCAGAGGUGAAAUCUUACAGCUUAACUGUGAAACUGCCUUUGAUACUGCAGGCCUAGAGUAUGGAAGAGAGUGAUGGAAUAUCUGGUGUAGCAGUGAAAUGCGUAGAUAUCAGAUAGAACACCAAUGGCGAAGGCAGUCACUUGAUCCAUUACUGACGCUAAAGCACGAAAGCGUGGGUAGCAAACA